rnacentral:rRNA from 1 species
GAGGAAAGGGGGAGGCGUGCCUAAUACAUGCAAGUCGAGCGAACGGACGAGAAGCUUGCUUCUCUGAUGUUAGCGGCGGACGGGUGAGUAACACGUGGAUAACCUACCUAUAAGACUGGGAUAACUUCGGGAAACCGGAGCUAAUACCGGAUAAUAUUUUGAACCGCAUGGUUCAAAAGUGAAAGACGGUCUUGCUGUCACUUAUAGAUGGAUCCGCGCUGCAUUAGCUAGUUGGUAAGGUAACGGCUUACCAAGGCAACGAUGCAUAGCCGACCUGAGAGGGUGAUCGGCCACACUGGAACUGAGACACGGUCCAGACUCCUACGGGAGGCAGCAGUAGGGAAUCUUCCGCAAUGGGCGAAAGCCUGACGGAGCAACGCCGCGUGAGUGAUGAAGGUCUUCGGAUCGUAAAACUCUGUUAUUAGGGAAGAACAUAUGUGUAAGUAACUGUGCACAUCUUGACGGUACCUAAUCAGAAAGCCACGGCUAACUACGUG